rnacentral:sRNA from 1 species
CGUUCAUCUGUAGAAAGGCUUGAAAGCUGUGUGCGGAUUGUGGAAGAGGAGGCGAUAUUUUUCAAUCGUCGCUCGUUUGGGAAAGUCCUCACAUCUUAGAUGAACUCCAAUCGCUUCGAGAAACUCUAAUUCCU